UAUUUGUUCCUGCCGAAACUUCCGGAGGUGGGAGUGCGGGGGAUGUAACGAUGCAGAGUGUGCUUGGGGAAGAAUCAUUUGCACACGGCUUGGGGUGAAUUAGGGCUACAUAAAUUAUUCAUGUAAUUGAACCUAUAGGGUGGUUUCCUCCAUCCGAAUCCGACAACUAACUUCGCAGGCAUAAUGAGGGAGGAAGA
rnacentral:sRNA from 2 species